rnacentral:rRNA from 1 species
AACGAACGCUGGCGGCGUGCUUAAUACAUGCAAGUCGAACGAGAAAAUCCGGCUUCGGUUGGAUGAGUAAAGUGGCGAACGGGUGAGUAACACGUGGACAAUCUGCCCUUGAAUCCGGGAUAAUCCUUCGAAAGGAGGUCUAAUACCGGAUAACACCACCGGGGGGCAUCCCUUGGUGGUCAAAGGCGGGGCAACCUGUCGUUUGGGGAUGAGUCCGCGGUCCAUUAGCUUGUUGGUGGGGUAACGGCCUACCAAGGCGACGAUGGAUAGCCGACCUGAGAGGGUGACCGGCCACACUGGGACUGAGAUACGGCCCAGACUCCUACGGGUGGCUG